UACAGCCAUAUCACAUUGAAACACCUGUUCUUGUAUGAUCACUGAAGUUAAGAAUUGUCGAACCUGGUCAGUACCUAGAUGGCUGGCCGCUUAGGAAUACCAGGUGCUGUAAG